CCAACCAUAGCUCAGUUGGUAGAGCGGAGGACUGUAGCACGUGCGGACAUCCUUAGGUCGCUGGUUCGAAUCCGGCUGGUUGGA
rnacentral:tRNA from 1 species